GUGAAUUGUCAAACCGGAGGGGACAGGAGGGUGUCCUAGAGCUCCAGGGCAGCGGGAGAGGAGUAGAGGCAGGAGAUGGUGUGCAGUGUGAGCUGGGCGUUAAGGAAGGGUCAGGGUGAAAGCAAACCGGGGCGAUUCUGACUGGUGUAACUGUGGGGAGGUGGCCCCGAGAACAGAAAGAGGACAAAGAGGAGGCACCACAAUUGGAAACAGAUGAAGAGCUCAACUGUGGUGAUGUGAGGCCCCAGAGGAAAACCCAGACACUGCAGAACGAUUUUAUGACACAGUUAACCGCCAUGAAGGCUGGUGAAGUGCUGGGCUGAGACCAUCCCAUUCAUCCUGUGGCGUUCUCAAUGCUCAAGUUCUAUAGGAACCUUCAAAGAUCACUCAUUGCCACGGCAAAGAUUUUAAACCCUUGAUCCUGUCUUCGGAAGCCAGCCCGCGUUUUGGCCCCUACAUCUCUAUACUGCGCAGUCCAGAGCCCACGCUCCAGCCCAUGGGGACUCCUUCCUGGCCUCAACGCAUUCCUGCUCCUGCAUAAGCAAUUUGAAGGUAUGGCUCCAUUGUCUUCUGACUUGCAUUAUUUCUGGAUAUGAUUCCUGCUGUGAUGGGUUACACGCACAAGCCUGGAUUUAUGUCAAAGUCUCAACUGCAGAAUCUUCUGGAUAUCCCGAGGGCACAUGUUCAAUAAAGAAGCCACUCCCUUGGGGUGCCUGGGUGACUC